GAUGAACGCUGGCGGCGUGCUUAACACAUGCAAGUCGAACGGAAAGGCCCAAGCUUGCUUGGGUACUCGAGUGGCGAACGGGUGAGUAACACGUGGGUGAUCUGCCCUGCACUUCGGGAUAAGCCUGGGAAACUGGGUCUAAUACCGGAUAGGACGAUGGUUUGGAUGCCAUUGUGGAAAGUUUUUUCGGUGUGGGAUGAGCUCGCGGCCUAUCAGCUUGUUGGUGGGGUAAUGGCCUACCAAGGCGUCGACGGGUAGCCGGCCUGAGAGGGUGUACGGACACAUUGGGACUGAGAUACGGCCCAGACUCCUACGGGAGGCAGCAGUGGGGAAUAUUGCACAAUGGGCGCAAGCCUGAUGCAGCGACGCCGCGUGGGGGAUGACGGCCUUCGGGUUGUAAACUCCUUUCGCUAGGGACGAAGCGUUUUUGUGACGGUACCUGGAGAAGAAGCACCGGCUAACUACGUG
rnacentral:rRNA from 1 species